CCUACGGGGGGCAGCAGUGAGGAAUAUUGGUCAAUGGACGAGAGUCUGAACCAGCCAAGUAGCGUGAAGGAUGACUGCCCUAUGGGUUGUAAACUUCUUUUAUAUGGGAAUAAAAUGUUCCACGUGUGGGAUUUUGUAUGUACCAUAUGAAUAAGGAUCGGCUAACUCCGUGCCAGCAGCCGCGGUAAUACGGAGGAUCCGAGCGUUAUCGGGAUUUAUUGGGGUUAAAGGGAGCGUAGGUGGAUUGUUAAGUCAGUUGUGAAAGUUUGCGGAUCAACCGUAAAAUUGCAGUUGAAACUGGCAGUCUUGAGUACAGUAGAGGUGGGCGGAAUUCGUGGUGUAGCGGUGAAAUGCUUAGAUAUCACGAAGAACUCCGAUUGCGAAGGCAGUUCACUGGACUGCAACUGACACUGAGGCUCGAAAGUGUGGGUAUCAAACAGGAUUAGAUACCCGUGUAGUC
rnacentral:rRNA from 1 species